CCAGCUCGAGGAGUUCCUGAACCAGAGCUCACCCUUCUACUUCUGGAUGAAUGGUGACCGCAUCGACUCCCUGCUGGAGAACGACCGGCAGCAGACGCACAUGCUGGAUGUCAUGCAGGACCACUUCAGCCGCGCGUCCAGCAUCAUGGACGAGCUCUUCCAGGACAGGUUCUUCGCCCAGGAGCCCCAGGACACCUACCACUACCUGCCCUUCAGCCUGCCCCACCGGAGGCCUCACUUCUUCUUUCCCAAGUCCCGCAUCAUCCGCAGCUUGAUGCCCUUCUCUCCGUAUGAGCCCCUGAACUUCCACGCCAUGUUCCAGCCCUUCCUUGAGAUGAUACACGAGGCUCAGCAGGCCAUGGACGUCCACUUCCACAGCCCGGCCUUCCAGCUCCCGCCCACAGAAUUCAUACGAGAAGGCGACGAUGACCGGACUGUGUGCCGGGAGAUCCGCCACAACUCCACGGGCUGCCUGCGGAUGAAGGACCAGUGUGACAAGUGCCGGGAGAUCUUGUCUGUGGGUGAGUCGGGGUCCAGACCACAAGCUGCCCCUUCUGAUCCCUUGUGUCCUGGGGUCACUGGGGCCUCACUGGU
rnacentral:sRNA from 1 species